UACGAGCAUAUCACGUUGAAACACCGUUUCCCGUACGCUUAUCGAGUUAAGCGAAAUCGAGCCAGGUUAGUACCUAGAUGGUUGACUGCUUGGAAAUACCAGGUGCUGUAAU